UACGUAGGGUGCAAGCGUUUAAUCGGAAUUACUGGGCGUAAAGCGUGCGCAGGCGGUUAUGUAAGACAGGUGUGAAAUCCCCGGGCUUAACCUGGGAACUGCAUUUGUGACUGCAUAGCUAGAGUACGGUAGAGGGGGAUGGAAUUCCGCGUGUAGCAGUGAAAUGCGUAGAUAUGCGGAGGAACACCGAUGGCGAAGGCAAUCCCCCUGGACCUGUACUGACGCUCAUGCACGAAAGCGUGGGGAGCAAACAGG
rnacentral:rRNA from 1 species